UCAAAACUUUUAACCUUCAUGUAAUAUUUGCAAUCCACUCCCAAUCUUACUUUGAGGCAUAAGAUUAGGAUUGGAUCACUGGUCAGUUUCAGAGUCAUAGUAACCUUGUUAUGCAAUUCUCCUGCUGGGCAGCACGCUGUAGUACAGUGGUUUGCAGCUGAUCUAGGUCAGAAUUUGAAUUCUGAUAAACAAGAUGUGCGCGUUUUCUUGUUGCCGAUUUAAAAGAAAAGCCUUUGCAUCAUAUAAGCAAUAAAAAUAAGUGCUGGACUAUUUAUUAACUCUAUACUCGCUACCGACAUUUCCAUCUUCAUGAUUAACAUCUGAGUUGCAUUCAAAUUACCAAAUUCAAAAGACCCGCCUUCGGUGAAGACAACAUUUGUGGUGCUUAUAUACACAUAUAAAGAGAUUAUAUCAGAGGAUAGACAACUUCAUUUGGAGCCCUUUCAGUGUUUGUGAUUCUGAAUAAUAGAUCCACCACUGUGCUGAUUCUGUAGUGAACAAAUGUUGUAAUUAUAUGGUUUUGCAGAAUCAUAAAUAAGCAGUGAUAUCAAUGAGUUCCGGAUUAUUCUUUAAGAAGAAUGGAUUUCAGUGAUUUUGUUCUUACAAAAUUCAGUGA